CCUACGGGGGGCAGCAGUCGAGAAUCAUUCACAAUGGGGGAAACCCUGAUGGUGCGACGCCGCGUGGGGGAAUGAAGGUCUUCGGAUUGUAAACCCCUGUCAUGUGGGAGCAAAUUAAAAAGAUAGUACCACCAGAGGAAGAGACGGCUAACUCUGUGCCAGCAGCCGCGGUAAUACAGAGGGCUCAAGCGUUGUUCGGCAUCACGGGGCGUAAAGCGUUCGUAGGCUGUUUCGUAAGUCGUGUGUGAAAGGCGCGGGCUGAACCCGCGGAAGGAACAUGAUACUGCGAGACUAGAGUAAAGGAGAGGGAACCGGAAUUCUCGGUGUAGCAGUGAAAUGCGUAGAUA
rnacentral:rRNA from 1 species